AUCCAUCUAACGAGUCUCGAAUAGGACGAAACGCACGUCAGAUUGGAU
rfam:Schistosoma rodhaini strain Burundi genome assembly, scaffold: SROB_scaffold0014365